CGCACGCUGACGUCAGGCGCGUGUUGGCGCGCGGGCGGCGGCGGGGCAGCUCCCGGCUCUACGGGCCGAGCGUGGACGCGGGGAGGGUUAUUUUAGUGUUGGCAUCGUCGCUCCUCCACGGCCCUCCCCACUCACAGGACAACGCCUCGCAGGAAGCGCCUGGGAACAGCACUGCGAGGAGGAGGAGGAGGAGGAGGAGGAAGGCCCAGCAAGAACCUACCUCGGAGCAGGUGACACCAGUGUCACCUGGCUGCUGGGUCGUGGCAGAUCACACCUGAGGCCCCCUGGGGGGAAAAUCCCCACCCAGAGGAACCGUGUCCAAGGAAUCGGCCGAAAUUCCCGUGUGGAGCAGCGCUUCCCCCACCAAUUAACUUCUCCCCUAGGAGAGGAAAUGAUACGGGUUUCUUUUAAUAGGACUUUGAUCUCUUGGGCUCCACACAGGACCGCUUCUGGCACCGGGAUCUCCAGCGCUGUGGGAAAGGGCACACGGGAUUUAUCGGGCAAACACCUCUUUUUGUGCCAGCACACGCAGGGUGGACACGUUAAUAAUAAACUUUGAGGCCUCUGCGGCUGUUUGGGGAGGGAAAUCACCUUUUUUAAUUCUUAAUUACUCUGAUUCAGCAUCUGCUGCAGGCAGGCUUGUGCUGGGGUGGUUUAGUAGCUCAUUCCCAGGCAUUCGCAGGAAUUAAGUCACAGGAUAUCAGUACCUUGUUAUUCAUCCAGCCACCCUCCACGGGAGGCUGGAGCACUGUGAUGACACAGCUCCUGGUCAAGCAGGACUUUUCCAAAGUCAAUAUGUGUGUAUAUCUCCACACACACCCGACCCAGAAUCACUGUCAGCCACGAACCUGCAGGAAAACCCUUCAAUUAUCCAGGAAUCACACCGAAAACACCAUCAGCCUGCACUUUGUCCACAGGGAUUUGGGAACCACAGGCUCCCAAUCCCUCGUAGCUGAUGUUUGCUCUACAAUCUGGUGCUGACACUGUUUCCUCUCCCAGUUCUCCCUCGUUCCACGGUCGGGACAUGUGCUGGUUUGCUCUCCUCAGCUUUGCUGUUCACACCUGUCCCUCAGCCUGUUCCAUCCCAGAGGACACAUGGCUUUUCUCCAGGCUUCAGGAGGGCAAAAAAUCUAAAAUAUCUCCAAAAUGAGAAGUUUAAGCAGCCAUUGCUCUGAAAACAUGGAAAAGGAAACAUCUCGGGAGUAACAAACAUUCCACCCGGCCUCCUGGCAUUAGUGACAGUGCAGGGAGCUCUUAAAAGGAACAAGUUAAAAGUAUUAAGAGCUGUCACCGUCA